GCUUACGGCCAUACCACCCUGAACACACCUGAUCUCAUCUGAUCUCGGAAGCAAAGCAGGGCCAGGUCUGGUCAGUACUUGAAUGGAAGACUGCCUGGGAACACCGGGUGCUGUAAGCU
rnacentral:rRNA from 1 species